ACAUUUCUUUACCAGCUUGCCACCACACAUGGUCAUUGCUGGGACACAUGUCCAAGGCCAGCUCAAGGGAAUAUCUGCAGCUGUCGAGCCUUGUGGAUGGAUUGGGGUUUCCACAACCAGGCAAGCCUGGUGUUGAGACCCAAGAGCACGAGGGAGGACAACAAGUAUUCAAGACAGGGGUGUUGACUGCCCCACAUGACGUGGGAUAUCCUUGGAGUGAGGUGGGCACUGUGAGGGUUGUGCAAAAUAAUAGCCCUGCUGGUUGGGCAUGAAUAUGUAACAUCAUAAAUUCUUUAUAACACAUAAAAACUACUAGGAAACAAAAAAUGUGUAAUAAUCAUGUGCAUUAGUUUCCAAUGUACCAUUUGAAAUCUUUCUUCUUCAGUGGCUGAAAAGCAAAGUGCCUGGAUUGAAAUCUUCCUUUGGUCAGCGGGAGAGGACACAUCCCUGAAAGGCACAGCUUCAUACCCAAGUCUUUCAGGUGGGUCAACCUACAAGAGUGUCCUGAGGACGAAGAGUAUCCAUUGAUCCAAAAGCACAAUCAGACUACAAAGGAGGUGAACAAAAGAUCUUAUUCCCUUCUGCAAAGCUUGAAGUUUGGCUUGCAAAUCACAGGCAGUGACUGAGGAAAAAAAUAAAAAUAUGUAAAAUAUAUACCUAAAAAUGUCAAUAAAUAUUUUAUUCCAGAAAGGC